rnacentral:rRNA from 1 species
CAGCAGCCGCGGGAAUACGGAGGGAGCUAGCGUUGUUCGGAAUUACUGGGCGUAAAGCGCACGUAGGCGGCUAUUCAAGUCAGGGGUGAAAGCCCGGGGCUCAACCCCGGAACUGCCUUUGAAACUAGAUAGCUUGAAUCUUGGAGAGGCGAGUGGAAUUCCGAGUGUAGAGGUGAAAUUCGUAGAUAUUCGGAAGAACACCAGUGGCGAAGGCGACUCGCUGGACAAGUAUUGACGCUGAGGUGCGAAAGCGUGGGGAGCAAACAGGAUUAGAUACCCGCGUAGUCCCUGUCUCUUAUAC